rnacentral:rRNA from 1 species
AUGGGCACGCCGCUAACGGCGAUCCCGGACCACAUCCAGGAGAUCUUCCUCCGCUUGCCUACCGCGGCCGACCUCGCCCGUGCCUCCGCCGCCUGCAUCUCCUUCCGCCGGCUCGCCACCGGCCGGUCCUUCCUCCGCCGCUUCCGCCGCCUCCACGCCCCGCUGCUCCUCGGCUUCCUCCAGCGCGACCACUUCGUCCCAGCCCUACCACCUCACCCCUCCGCGCCCGCCGCCCGCGCCCUCGCUCUCGCCGCCGACUUCUCCUUCUCCUUCCUCCCAUCCCACUGCCACUGGAUCGUGCAGGACGUCCGCGACGGCCGCGUCCUCCUCGGCCGCAGGUUUGGAAAGGACGACCCGUCUCCGGUCUUCCGGGAGCUUGUGGUGUGCGACCCCUUGCACCGGCGGUACGUCCUGCUUCCACCAUUUCCGGACGACCUGGCCCAUUGGGUGGAGCACCAGGUCUACAACCCUUUCAAACCUUUCCUCCUCCCCGUCGCCGAGGAGGAGACGGAAGAGACAGCAUUCAGAAUCAUCUGGAUGGCGCAUUGCAGAACUAAGCUGGCCGCGUUUGUCUUCUCUUCCAGCACCGGAAAAUGGCAAGAAGCCACCAAGAGCGGGCCGACUGGUUUGGUCCUUGACAGGGGCGACUCGGCCAUACUGUCACGGAUCCACCCUCAUUUUCUCAUGCGCCAUUAUGCCUAUGGCUGCUUCUACUGGGACUGGCUUGUGACCGGGAGCAGAAAGUUGCUCAUGCUUGACACCAGGAGGAUGGAGUUCUCCUUUGCCGACCUCCCACCCGGAGAGUGGAGUAAACGUGUAGCCAUUGUGGAGGCAGGGGAAGGCAGGCCUGGGAUUUUUGGGUUCCAUGGUGAAAUUGCAUCUGAUCUCAGCUAUGCCAUUGCGCAAAAUACAGGCGAGAGUCCGAACCAGUGGCAAAUGUUGAAGACAAUAUCACUAGACCCUGGAUACAUAUAUUCUAUCGAUGCUGCA